rnacentral:rRNA from 1 species
AUAUUGGUCAAUGGAUGGAAGUCUGAACCAGCCAUGCCGCGUGCAGGAAGACGGCCUUCUGGGUUGUAAACUGCUUUUGCCAGGGGCUAAAAAGCUCAUGCGUGAGAAAUUGAAAGUACCUGGUGAGUAAGCCACGGCUAACUACGUGCCAGCAGCCGCGGUAAUACGUAGGUGGCAAGCGUUGUCCGGAUUUACUGGGCGUAAAGGGCGUGCAGGUGGCUUGCUAAGUGGUGCGUGAAAGCGCUCGGCUCAACCGGGCGAGGGCGUGCCAAACUGGCAGACUAGAGACAGGCAGAGGAAAGUGGAAUUCGGGGUGUAGUGGUGAAAUGCGUAGAGAUCCCGAGGAACUCCUGUGGCGAAGGCGACUUUCUGGGCCUGCUUUGACACUCAGACGCGAAAGCAUGGGGAGCGAAC